rnacentral:rRNA from 1 species
CCUACGGGAGUCAGCAGUAGGGAAUAUUGCUCAAUGGGGGAAACCCUGAAGCAGCAACGCCGCGUGGAGGAUGAAGGUUUUCGGAUUGUAAACUCCUUUUGUUAGAGAAGAUAAUGACGGUAUCUAACGAAUAAGCACCGGCUAACUCCGUGCCAGCAGCCGCGGUAAUACGGAGGGUGCAAGCGUUACUCGGAAUCACUGGGCGGAAAGAGCGCGUAGGCGGGAUAGCAAGUCAGAUGUGAAAUCCUAUGGCUUAACCAUAGAACUGCAUUUGACACUGUUAUUCUAGAGUAUGGGAGAGGUAGGUGGAAUUCUUGGUGUAGGGGUAAAAUCCGUAGAGAUCAAGAGGAAUACUCAUUGCGAAGGCGACCUGCUAGAACAUAACUGACGCUGAUGCGCGAAAGCGUGGGGAGCAAACAGGAUUAGAUACCCCAGUAGUC